GCGUAGGAGCGUUCGGAGUUCGGCCUAGGUAACUACCGAGUCUUCGGCGGGCUCGCGAGCCCGGCCGCGGCCUACUGGUUUCAGUGAUGGCUCAUGAAGCAAUGGAAUAUGAUCUUCAGGUGCAGUUAAAUCAUGCUGAAGAACAGCCAACUCCUGCUGGCAUGGCCAGCAGCCAAGGGGGACCAGCCCUCCUCCAGCCUGUUCCUGCUGAUGUGGUCAGCAGCCAGGGGGUACCAUCCAUCCUCCAGCCAGCUCCUGCUGAGGUGAUCGGGAGCCAAGCGACACCACCCCUGAUCCAGCCUGCUCCACAACUGUCUAUUGACCUGACAGAAGUGGAGGUCUUGGGAGAAGACAAUGUGGAGAACAUCAAUCCAAGAACUUCAGAACAACAUAGGCAGGGAUCUGAUGCUAAUCACACCAUCCCAGCAUCUUCGUUGCAUUCAAUGACCAACUUCAUCAGUGGACUGCAGAGACUUCAUGGCAUGCUGGAAUUCCUGAGACCUUCAUCUUCAAACCACAGUGUAGGGCCAGUGAGAACAAGAAGGAGGGUAUCUGCUUCACGGAGGGCAAGAGCCGGAGGGUCUCAGAGGACAGACAGUGCCAGGUAAAUAAAUAUAUGGAUAAGUCUGUGAUCAUUGCUGUACUAGAAAGUAUGAAACUGAGGCUCUGCCAUUCAAGGACUGACAGUGUGACUUCUGGCAAAUCAGAUAACUUCUGACCCCCAGUUCCUCAUAGGUGGAAAUAAAAGCACUUGCCUUACUUCACAAAGUAAUGAAGGGAUAAGUUAAACUGUUGUGCCUUUAAAACUAGGUGGUAGUUUGUUGGCAGUCUCUGUAGAGAUUGGCUGUUCUUCAGAUAGUGUCUUGUACACCAAAAAUUCUUUCUUCCCUUGCAAGUCUCUACUCACCCAAAUUCAUUAUUCACUGGCAUUCCACC
rnacentral:sRNA from 1 species